rnacentral:rRNA from 1 species
UACGUAGGGGGCAAGCGUUGUCCGGAAUCAUUGGGCGUAAAGGGCGCGUAGGCGGCCCAGUAAGUCCGUUGUAAAAGUCAAAGGCUCAACCUUUGAAUGCCGAUGGAUACUGCUGGGCUAGAGUCCGGAAGAGGCGAGUGGAAUUCCUGGUGUAGCGGUGGAAUGCGCAGAUAUCAGGAGGAACACCAAUAGCGAAGGCAGCUUACUAGGCUGUAACUGACGCUGAGGCACGAAAGUGUGGGGAUCAAACAGG